GAUGAAGAACGUAGCGAAAUGCGAUACUUGGUGUGAAUUGCAGAAUCCCGUGAACCAUCGAGUCUUUGAACGCAAGUUGCGCCCAAAGCCUUUAGGCCAAGGGCACGUCUGCCUGGGCGUCACGCAUCGCGUCGCCCCCAAUACUUGCUUGUAAAG
rnacentral:rRNA from 1 species